CAGUAGCCGCGGUAACACAGAGGAUGCAAGCGUUAUCCGGAAUGAUUGGGCGUAAAGCGUCUGUAGGUGGCUUUUCAAGUCCGCCGUCAAAUCCCAGGGCUCAACCCUGGACAGGCGGUGGAAACUACCAAGCUGGAGUACGGUAGGGGCAGAGGGAAUUUCCGGUGGAGCGGUGAAAUGCGUCGAGAUCGGAAAGGACACCAACGGCGAAAGCACUCUGCUGGGCCGACACUGACACUGAGAGACGAAAGCUAGGGGAGCAAAUGGGAUUAGAGACCCGCGUAGUCCCUGUCUCUUAUAC
rnacentral:rRNA from 1 species